AAUCAUUAUGAUUGGUUUUGCCUAGCGUGGUCAGUUUCAAACUGACCCACCGUGGAUCAGUUAAACUCUCCACCAUUAGAUUUAAUGUUUUUUAUUUGAACGGUUCAUAUCAGCUGAUAAUAAUAAUAAUUAAUUAAUUAAAUAUAUAUAUAUAUAACUUUACUAAAAUACCCUUGUCUCUUCCAAUGCUUCUUCAACCCUACUACCAUCCUUGAACCACUAUGUUGCCACCGCCAAUCUCCCUCAGCCUAUCAGCACCGCCACCGCUAAUCUCCCUCAGCUACCAGCACCGCCACCAUGGAUCCACCAAAAUCCCAGAUCCGAAGUUGAAGCAACAUGCAAACCCAUCAUCUCCACCCAAAGCCCCCUAGAAGCUUUCUCUCCUACCUCUGAGAACCCAUAGCCGCCACCACCCCUCUCAUUCCCAUGGCAGCGCCGCCACCACCUCCCUCUCCCUCCCAUGCCAGCGCCGCCACCACUUCCUUUGCGUACCGCAGCGCCGCCACCACCACUCAACACAACCAGAUCUGGUUCGCUUGCAGGAAACGGGUCGGGCACGCUGGUCUGAGCGGUGUAGAGGAGGGCGGUGAGGAAGUAAAGGUGGGUUUUGGUGAUGGAUUUGUGGAGUUGAAGAAUUCAUGGUUGAUCUUUGAUCACACUCUGUUCUGUUAUGAUCACUCACACUAUGUUUCGUUUCAUGGUUUUGUGAUUCUUGGAGAAAAUGAUUGAAUUUAACCAUUUUGGGGGCAAAUGAUUCGAAUAAAUUUGUACCGGUAAUAAUCAAUCAAAUAGAAUUGCAUGGGAGGAGCAACAUGGUUGUUGGAGAUUGAUUGUUGCAUGAAGAACAUGGGAGAGAAAGGGGGUAGAUGAGGCGGACAGGAACUGGGUGGAGCGGCGAGGCUACGGUGGUGCUGCAGCGGUGAGGCUUGGUGCUGUUGGUGGUAACAGGUAACCGGUAACAGAUGAAGAAGAAAGAAUUUAAGGGAAGGAUAAACAUAGAAUAAAUUGAAGAAUAAAGGUUAUUUUUGUCUUUCAAUAUGUACAGUAAAACUGCACCACGAUGGGUCAGUUUCAAACUGACUCAAGGUAGGUGCAGCCUAAAUCAUUACUUCACAACUAUAUUAUAGGUUCAUUGAUCUCAUUUUACUUUUUCCCUUAGAUUUUUAGCAUAUCUUCUAUCCUUACAAUUGAAGGAUUUGAAAUCACUGUUCAUGCACCAACUUUUUUGUUUUGUUACGGGAGAGUAGUGGGCUGGGCCUAUUGAGUUAUAUGGUGGCCCCUUUCAAUGCUAUCCUGCACCCUCUCUUCUUUCUCUUCCCGUAGGCAAGCUUUAUCUGCUCUCUCGCGUAGACAAGGUUUUCGCCGGAGAUUGAAGUCCCUACGCCAUCAGUGUGCUACGAUGUAGGGAAUAGGUUAUUAGGUUUUUGCAUAAUUCAGAUUCAGAUAGGUUGAAGACACCAAUUCCGGAAUCGGAAUCAUCAUCGGCGCCGCCAACAGCGACAUUCCAAAUCUCACCGCCGAUCCCAACGCGGCAGAUUCCUUAUCCCUCCGAGUAGUACGGACUUCCCUAUUACCUACCUCUGUUCCACCUCAUAAACUAUGUUGCACUCUUCGUUGUUCCUGUGGUAUGCAUCAUCAUCCACCCCUUUUCUCUGCCUUUAUCUGCCUAUUCUCUGCCUAUGCCAUACUCCUUAGGUACCUCCAACCUACAAAUUCCAGCUGUCGGUUGCCUUUGGCAGGUUCUGCAGCUCUACUCUGGUGAUUAUGCAUCUAUGCCAGAUGCAGGCAUUGGCUUAUAAAUACACCUUUUGUCGUGUUGUUGCUCACCAGUUCUUAGUCGAUUCAGUUUUCCUAUUUAUUUGUUAUUCGCUCUCCAUUGUCUUGUCUUUCUAAGUCAAGUUGGGUGAUGUUUCUGGUUUUAUGUGUUGUGAAGUUUGAUUAGUUCUUUAUAAAUAGCGAAUUUUUUUAUGGUUGUGUGUUGUGAAUUUCAAAUUUCUUCUGCCUGACUCAGAUUUCAAAUUUAUUUACAAGGCUUAUUAUAUUAAGAGUUUCUCCAAAACGCUACACUCGAUGCAUACACAAUGCACACCACACUGAACUAACUAACAAUCUCUUCUGUGGUUUCAUUAUGAAAUUACAAAGUUCAUAUCAUUCCUUUGAGAUAGCAUCAAUUAUAUCACCGUUUGACGGGCUUUUUGCCUUGAUGAACUUCAUUUUUAAAGGAAGAAAAAAAUGACUGUCUCAUUAUUCACCUUCUCUUAUUUAUAAGCUAAGCUUAGUACUGCUAGAUGUUAGCAUUGUAGGAUUCCAGUUCUUAUGUUUUAGUUUUUAACAUUGAUCAAUGCUUUUUAAGUUCGAAGUAAGGUACUCAACUCAAGCUAUUAAAUUUGAGCCUUUGAACAGUCCUAACAAUCAUAGCUAGAGCUAAUUCUGUUCAAUUUUUUGUCUCCUAUUUUUUCAUGUGAUGCAUAAAUGCAUGGACAUCAAUUGUUUCCAAUUAUGGCUAAUUGGAAACAUGUGAUGCAUAAAUGCAUGGACAUCAACUGUGUACAUAACCUUCUCUAAGCCUCAAUGCUCAGGAGGUUUUAGUGAUCUCACAGCUUGGAGUCCUCCAUCCCAUGCUAAGAUGAGUAAAAAGACCCCAUGAAAAUGUAACUUUGUUUUUUAACAGUGCUGGAUUGAAUUGUCAUUUUAAAUAGAACUUAUCAUCAAAGUCAAUAGCUCAUACAUGUCUUUAAUGGAUUUAUUUUUUUAAAUGAGCCUCAAUGAGCAUUUUGGGCUCACGAGUAAAGUUAAUGGAUUUUCCUGCUAUCCAAGAUCAUGUGAGCACAUUAAUUGUUUGUGUUGUUACUUUAGAUACAAGAGUUUGGGGUGUGCUUGGAGUUGAACAUGCAUCCUAACCCAUAUGCACACCCGUCCCAAGGCCAAAUGCUUAAUUGCCACUACCUUUAAAACAGUUCAGUUUAAGUGGCUUAAUUGCAAGUGUUGAUUUUAUCAUUUCUUUUUGUAUUCCUUUCAGUGAAGACUUGGGUUAGACAUAUAGAAAAUUCAUUUCUUAAAUUGUAAUUGAGCAUUUCUGUCCAUCUCAUGCAUUGUAUUUUUCUGGUUGUCUUUUUUUUUUUCAUAAUUUUUCCUAUAUGCACAUUAUGAUGAUAAUGAUACUGUGGUAACUUCAAUCCUGCAUUGGCAUAUUUCGAUUAGAUUCAAUAUUGUUUUAAGUUGUUACUUUUGUAAUUUGUAGGCUUCGUUACAUGUUGUCAAACUUGUGAUUAGAUUUUCUUUCUUUCUUCUUAAUGAAAGAAAGAAAAUCAUGGGAAGGAGCUUGUGCUCUGGGGGAGAUACAUGGAAGAUUAUUAAAGAGAGCUUGCUCGGAGUUGGAAAGUGAUGGCCAUGGCUUUCAGGCAGGAGGAGGCAUAUUCUUCGCCGCUGUGAGGAAAGUGAUUUUCGCACUACAUUUGUGCCACUUGCAACGAUUGCAUUUGCAACACUUUUCUGAUGAGGUAACUUUCACCGUCUGCUCUUAAUUUUUAUUUUAAAAAAAAUCUAUUCUACGAUUGAGUUGAGAGUAUGACCACCCCGGAUUUUGUGCACCUGACCACAAUUUUACAGUUUCUGCAUCUUUCUGUUUUAAUCUUGACUUAUUGUUUCUGCAUAAGUUAAUUUAUUAUUAUGAAAUGCAUGAGAUAUAGCCAUGUUUAGAUGUUUAUCCAUCACUUUUGUAUUUUAGUUAUUGGUUGUCUUCAUUGACCAUUUUUCAUUUUAUGUCAAACUUAGUGAUGUUCUAACUAAAUCUUAUGUUUGCUCUAGACUCUAGAAUGCUCAUGUUUCUUACUAAAUUGAUCACUAAACUUAUUACAAUGCAAUACUUGUGGUCUUUUUUGGCAUGUUGGAUUGGUGGAGUCUAUAUUGGUCACUGCUAUGAAUGGUAUCUGUCUUGCUGUGGGAUGAACAAAGAAGCGUUCUCUGGAUGUGGCUGGAACUUAGAUCGGUUUGGUCCCUGGAAUUGGCAUAAUCUUUAUGUGUCAUGUAGGCUUUGAUUAAUAUCAGCUUUGUUACUGCAGGGCUUAGAGCAAUUUUCCAUUUAAUAGUUGGGCAAGAGUUAUCAAUGUUAGAUAGAGUUUCACUACAUUUUAUAAUUCUUUUUUAUAUUGUUUUCUCCUCCUUUGUGAUGGGUUGGGGCACCCAUUGUGCUCCGAAUUAGUUCUAUUUGGCUUAAAAGAAAAAAAAACAUAAGCUCCCCAAAUGAAAACAUCAUGAAUAUUAGAUGCACCCUCAAAAAGUGUACUGAAUUUACACAUCAUGAGAUCUAUAUCACUUAAUUUACGAAGACUGCCUAGCAAUAUAUUGCAUUGUUCAUUGUGGACCAAUUCUCUUGAUUGAAUAUUAUAUGUUAGUUGCAUAUGCUGUUAACAAAAUCAAAUUUCUGUUUUAAUGCAUGCUAGAAUAUUUUGGUUUAAAAAUUUCAAAUUUACUUCUAUACACUAAUUUACUUGAGACAUCUUUAUGUUAUAUACCAUAAGUUAGAACCAGUGGGACUCCCUUUUAGAUUCAAGGAAGUUCAUAUAUGACUCUGUUGAAUAGUACUAUAUCAAUGUGUUUUGAACUUGAAUUUUUUAAUGUGUUUUUCUUUUGUAUGGGCCAAAAUGUGAUUAUAUGAGAGAGAAUGAAAGAAACACUUAAAGCAAGUAAUGUUAUCCAUACUAUAUAUUAAUGCAUUAUGAACCGGAUAAGACAAUGAAGCUUAGCUAUCCUUUUUUGUUUACUGUUUUCAUUUUCCAUUGACACAGGACUGUUUGGAUCUUCCAAUUCUUUUUCAUGCAGGUCAUCAUCAACAAUUUUAUCUUAUGAAGUUAAUGUGAUACCAAGAUUCAAUUUCCUAGCUAUAUUCUUGGAAAGGAUAAUCAGAUCUGAUCUUCCUGUUAACCUCAGGGCCUUGGCAUAUAGAGUUGAAAGGAAUAUUAUCGGGAAUCAGAGACUUCCCCUGCAAGAAAAUAACUUGCAUAAAACUUUUAUGCCUAAUACGUCACUUGUCGAAAAGAUAAAUGGUACUUUGUGUGGAAGUGAUAAAUUGCCACCUGGAGAGAAUAAAGAAGGUUUAGCGAGCCCGAUUUCUGGUUCCUUGCCCACAAGUUCCAGUGAAGUGAACAGCAAUUGGGGUGUAUUUGGAAAAGUUUGUAGACUUGACAGGCCUUGUGUGGUGGAUGAAGUUCAUCUCCGCAGAUUUGAUGGACUUUUGGUAACCUAUCCUUACUAAAUUUUCAUGAGGUGGCUAUAAUUCUGAGAAUGAGCCAUAUUUGUUGUCAAAGUUACAAAUGAAGUUAUAUUCAUGUGAAGGAAAAUCGAGGUGUACAUUGUUGUGUUGUUGCAAGCAUAACGGUUAAAGCUCCUGUUCGUGAUGUUUGGAAUGUUCUAUCUUCCUAUGAGACUCUUCCUAAGUAAGCUAUUUAUCGUUCUUCUUUACACUAAAUAUAUGAAAAACAAUGGUGUGAAAGGAUUCUAGAUCUUAUGUUCCGCAUUCUUCAGGUAAGAUGUCAUGUUGAGAAGAGUCUUUAGUGAGAGAAACGUAGCUCUUAAUAUUUUGCCAGUCACUGUGUUAUGCUUACCGACCAUUGUUUUACCAUUGUUGAUUUCAGAGUUUCACUCUUGCUUCUUUUUAUGGUUUCUAUUGUGCAGGUAGCCCCUAUCAUUGACCAUUGUUAAUUUGCAACAGGUUCAGUUCUAGAGAAUCAUUGCCCCCUUAAAGAAUCAUACAGUUUCUUACUACGCAUUUUCUUUCAUAUAAGUACUCUUAGGAGUUUGAUGGGUCGUUGUGUGCUUGUACUGAUCACUAACUCUCAUGUUUUAUGAAUUCAACUAACAAAAGAUGACUUCACUUAGCUUCUUCUACUAAAUGUCCUUUAUUAAGGGAGCAACACGAAUCUGAGCUGCAUUUGUUUAGAGACCGGCAAGUGAUCCAGCCUGUUUGAGAGAUGAGGCUCGACAGUGGGUUUUGGAUUAGGCUCCUAAUGUUACUAUGGCUGAACUUUGUAAAAUGGAGAAGUAGUUGUUAAAUCAAUUAAUCAAAUGUAAGUUAUUGCAGUAAUUAAAUUGGACAUUUUCCAGGGAUCUCAUGAUUGUUACUCUUCGGAAUGGUGCUUGAGUUGUUGCUAUGAAAAAUGUCUUAAAUUAAAA